rnacentral:lncRNA from 1 species
GAGGAAGAACUAUAGUCAAGGUAGAGACUGUGAGAAAAUAAAAGGGGGAAAAAAAGAAAAGAAAAAUUAUGCCAAAAUAAAAUUUAAAAAAACUGAGGGAGACCAAUAACUGUAUAUCUCUCAGACUUUAACUAAUGAGAGAGUUUGUAAUCAAGAGAUUUGAUAAAAGCUCAGUGAAAACGAUUACGUCAUCUCCACUUUACUUUGUCUUAGAAGCAUUUAAAGAAAGCCAUGGCAUGUUAAAUAGCAAAAACAAAAUGCUAACCAAUUCUUUGUCAAAAACCAUGUUCAACAAUCUGAUUAUGGUUCAAUAAAAUGACUGAAAGAUCUAAUAAAGGAAGGAAUAAAACAGCCACGUGGAAAUUGUGUAUCUUUGCAUGGAAAGUAUUCUGCGUAAAUUAGCCCAGAGGGCACUCUAAAAGGUCAAUUACAAAAUGUUUACGUUUCUGUAAACAGUAACCAAAACACAGCAACAACUCUACAGGCUGUGUCAGGGGCUGUAGCAACAGCUCCAGGGCUUCAGGGAAAGUUUCUCUGUCAAAAGAAUAGCAUGUUUGAUCCUUACAAACCCCUUGUAACUUCCUCAGGAUGGAUUUAGAACUGUGAUUUCUGGACCAAGAGUGUAUGAGGACGGUGAGUCUGCUUUUUAGUGUAUUUCCUUCUAUUUAGUGUAUUUCCAGGUAGCUGUUUCAACGUAUGUGUCUGUUAUCUUCAGGAAUUUUCCACUUCUAUAAAACCCAUGUAACUAAAUAGUUCCUGGUGCAACUUAAAGAAAAUACACUUUCUAGUUUAAAUAAAGUCUCUUUACCCUGCCCCCUCCCCCC